GACAGAGGGUGCAAACGUUGUUCGGAAUUACUGGGCGUAAAGCGUGUGUAGGCGGCCGCGCAAGUCGGAUGUGAAAUCCCCGGGCUCAACCCGGGAAGUGCACCCGAAACUGCGAGGCUUGAGUACCGGAGAGGUUGGUGGAAUUCUCGGUGUAGAGGUGAAAUUCGUAGAUAUUCGCAAGAACACCAGUGGCGAAGGCGGCUCACUGGCCCGGUACUGACGCUGAGGUGCGAAAGCGUGGGGAGCAAACAGG
rnacentral:rRNA from 1 species